rnacentral:sRNA from 2 species
GUGCGGCCUGAAAACAGGACUGCGCCUUUGACAUCAUCAUAAUAAGCACGGCGCAGCCACGAUUUCCCUGGUGUUGGCGCAGUAUUCGCGCACCCCGGUCAAACCGGGGUCAUUUUUU